rnacentral:rRNA from 1 species
AUGGCGGAUGCACCUCUGUACAAGCAGCGCCGCAAGUACACCAGGGAGCUCCACGACGUCCACCUCCACGGCAAUCACAAGCUCCACGUCCUUUGCACAAGCAAGGGCAAAGACGUGGACAAGAUGCUGUCCACGUUCAGGAGGAAGCUCGGCGGAAUGCCCGUCAAACUAGUCGGCAUUGAUGUCGAGUACACACACUACGAGAAGCCACAGCGUGCAGCGGUACUACAGCUAUGCGUAGAAAAAGAAUGCCUUGUCUACCACAUAUCUGUAGCUAAAGACAGGAGACAAAAGCAAGCUGAAGGUAUCUGGUUUGGAGAUCAACUCCAACAACUACAUUGA